rnacentral:snRNA from 11 species
AUACUUACCUGGAAGGGAACAUAAAAUAAUCAAGAAGGCAGUUUUCCUAGGGUUAGACUUAUCCACUGUAUUAUUAGACAUGUUGAUGCUUUCAAUUUCCCUGAAUGUGAGGGACUUCCACUGCAUAAUUUGUUUUUGCAGUGAGAGACUGUGUUCAUGCCUUUCUCUG